CCUCCUCCAUUUUUAUAAUCCGACUGGACAUUUACAUUUAUAUUAUACCAUUCAUUUGGUUGAACAUCACCGUACUCAAUGGUUGUAGUCUGCUCUUCAUCAUUAGGAUUGCUUGUAUUAUUACGAGAUUUUAGUUGCAAUUGUAAUUAAUUAAUUCGAGCAACAAGUUUGGAGAUAACGAAAAGUGACCGGAGACAAAUUUUCA
rnacentral:lncRNA from 1 species